UGUAACUUGUGCAGCCCUUACAGGGAUUAGGGAUAGAUUUCUAUGGUUUGACCCUGUUCCUUACCUCUCUGCAGAAAUGGGGCCGUGAGUGAGAAGAGUCACUGGUGUUGCAAGAUGUAGAGAGUAUCUAAAGACUUCUCAUUUCUGAAUAGCUCUACCUCUGAUCAUGCCUGAAAUUCCAUUACAAAUCUAUUUCUUGAAGAUGUGUUUUAAUUUGUGGGGGCUGAAAAGGAUACUGAACACUAGUGACCAAGGACUCUCAAAUGCUAUGACUGAGAAGGCAGUAAAGUAAGGACUCUCCCUCAGAAGGAAGCCAUGGAUGUUCUGACACCCCAGGACAACGCACCUGAGUAGGACCGUGGUGGGCGAAGGGAAAAUUCCUGACAUCUGGUAUCUACCCCUCAGGAUGGACUGAUGUUUGCUGAUGCUUUUCCCUGGGGAACAGUCUCCUGCACUUCCAUGGUGGAAUGAAAAACUUGGCCUGAGGUUUUAGCCAUCAUGAACAGAUAUGUUGAACCACCUAAAUCUACAGAUUCAUUACAAGUGCCACUUCAUAUUCAGAGAGAGUGAUUUUUUUCUCCCUUUAUGUGGACCCCUCUGGGAUGUCUCCAGCGGAGCAAGAGCCAGACCUACCUUGUUCAUAGUUUUCUUCAUAUGAAAUGCAUUGCUUAGCACCUUGUAGGAGCUUCAUUGUAUAUAUGUGGAAUCAAUGAAUCAACAUAAAAGGAAGGAUAAAACUUUGGCGUUGAUAAAAUAAGAGCAACAGCAAAUCCCACCCCCGCCGUUUACUGGCCUGUUAACUUCUCUCUGCCUGAAUUUCCUCAACUGCUAAGUGGGAAGGAUCGUGAUAAUCACAGCAUGUACCUCGAGAUACCUUGAUUUCUCGGGCUGUGCUUCCUGCAACAUGGAGGGUCUGUAACAGCACAGUGCUCAUAAGGGAACUUCAGCCAUGUCUGUCUUGGGCCAUCGCACAGAUGAUUCCUGCAUUUGGGAGCAUUUCUUGAGCCAGGCCAUAUGCUCAGCAUCACGGGAGCUUCAUGUGUUCCGUCUGGAGCACUGGGAAUAAUGAGAUCCUGAACCGCAAAGGGCAGAGUCCCUGGAAAGCAGCCAUACUUGGUGGAGUGCUCUGUGCUAAUCCUCAGAAACGGAUACGUACAAGUGAAUGCCUUGCUCCACUGAGGUCUCACAUCCUCCCAUCCCCCACCAUGGAGCAGGAAGCCUGUUGGUGCUACUUUUAAAAGGGUGCAUUAUUUUUGUGUGUGUUCACAGGAACCUGUCUGGUGAUUAUAUUUUAGAACAAUUUGCACAUUUUCUAGGAAAGAAAAAAAUUGGUGUAGUGUUUUGCAAAGCUCUUAGGAAAGAGAAAUCUCAGCGUUUCCCAUUAGAAUCACCUUUCACUAGACUGUGUGGCAUCCUUUGCAGGUGAAUCACUCAGGGCAGUUUUGGUGGUGCACACAACAGGACUGAAGGGUUAAAAGGCAAAUCAGAACUCUGAUCGGUGGAGGUUUACCUUUUCUGUCUUCUAGAGAUACGGGGUAUUGAUCUAGUUCUGCUGCAAAGCUCUUUGCUUUAUCACUGAAUUUUAAACAGAAAGCAUCUUGAAGUGCAGAGGCUGGUGAAUUACUAGGAGCAGAGGUAUUUUCACAAACAUCAAGGAUAGGCAGGCUUUGGAGUUUGCAAUGGCAGGG